UAGUCGCCUUGCUUGAGCUCUGGAAAAAGGCCGUCUAUGGCGGAUCUGUCUCUGGCGCAAGGGCGCGGUUGGGGUGAGGUAGGCGUGGUGAGGUUUCCUCGUUCGGUUUUGUCUCCGGGAGGCGGAGGCUCUUUCAGCUCCGCCGACGCCGGCUCCAGUCCCCGCGUCGUAGAGGCUACCUUAGCUCUGACGGCGUCGGUUUAGAUCUCGGGGGGCGAAAGCGUACCGCUGCUUUGCCCCGCCGCCUUGGGUCCCUAGGGUUCGGUUUUUAGGGUUUGUUUCUCAUUUUUCUUUUAGUUUUAAGGUCCUGGUUUGUUUGGGUGGGGGGAGAUCCCGUACGAGGUGGAUCGAAGCUCGACCAUGGUUAAUUGUGUUAGGUCGCGCGAAGCUUCUUUCUCGGUGAUGGGUUUGAACGGUUUCGGUUGAGCUCUCGAACUAUCGAUUGAAGCUCUCCGAGUUUAGUUUUCACCGGAAGUGGAAGGAGUUUGCGGUGGCGAUGUGUGGAUUGUGUGGUUUCCGAUACUCUCUGGUUAAUCGAAGGUGGGUUUUCCUGGUGGUGUGCCGAAGGGGGGCGUCGUCUGAGCCGUAGCGUGUGUCCGCGCGGCGGCGGGGCUUCUUCGUGCUGAUCGGGUGUCGUAGGUGGGCUUUGGGCCCGGCUGGUGAUUUGCGUUUUUUGGGCCGUUUAUUUGGCUUUGUAAUGUGUUUGUUGGGCUCAGCCCUUUUAAUGGAAAUUUCAAUUUGUGGGAAAAAAAAAAAAAAAAAAAAACUUGUAACAUUAUAACUGUCCAAAGUGGCCUAUUCUUGGUUUUGUAUACAUUUGGAUCUUUUAGAUUCGAAAGAAGGUGACUAACACGUGAAUGCUAUAUUUCAACAACAAUCUAGCAGGGAUUUCAGUCUUCUUUUUGCUUUUACAUUGUGCGGUAGAACUUUUUAUUCCAACCCUUUAUUCAUCUAAUUAUUAAAUUCCUAUGAUUUGGUAAAUAUGUAAAUAGAUACCCCAAGAAAAUAAAUCAAAUAGCAGACAAAAAGGUUAAAAUGGAAAUAAGAAUAUAGAAGAGAAAGGAAAAGAGCUUUUAGAUGGUUGGUUCUAAUACGAAAGACACGGAGGAAGUCAUAUCUUGUCCAUUUUGACAGAAAGUGUUUCAACCCACAUUGAUGGGCUUGAUUUGAUCUUCAAAAUCAUGAAUCUGUUUAUAUAGCGUACUUGUACUCUAGCUUUUGUGUUUCGUUUCUUGUAGGGCUAAGCAUUUAGAAACCCUACGAAGAAUCUAUAGACCAAAUCUUAGAAUAGGAGAUAGCACUACUGUUGGAUGAUUAUGUGUCUUGGUUUUUCAUAAAUGUUUUGUAUUUUGAAUUGAUGGUCCAUAGCAUUGAUCGAGAAAUUACAUUACUAUUCGGGUUUGUUAUUGAUUUGAACACGUAAAACACAAGUAACGAAUAUUUCUUAUUACUGUACAAAAAUAAACGACGAAUAUAAAAUAGAGAAAAAUACUAGAAUAGCACCAAACCAAGUUUUUGUUCCCAAAGUAGCACUCAAGGCUCAAAGUCACAAAAAUAGGUUUCAUUAAAGAGGUAAAUAUACACUUAUACCCCUUGGGUUAAUUAAUCCAAAUCUUAGGGUUUAGAGUUAAGGGGUGGGGUUUUGGAAUUAGGGUUUAAAAUUUUAUAAAAAAUAAAUACCAAAAUAAAAAAUAAAAAUUAAAAAAACAGUUUCAAAAAGUAUUUUUAAAUUAUAAAAAGAAAAUUUGAAAAAAAAUAAAAAAAAUUCGAAAAAAAAAUUUUCAAAAAUUUUUUAAUAAAAAUUUCGAAAAAAAAAGUUUUCAAAAUUUUUUUAUAAAAAUUUCGAAUCUGAAAACAUAUAAUCUGAAACUAUAAAAAAAAAAAAAAAUUUUCCAUUUUUUUAUUUUUAUUUUAUUUAUUUUUAUUUAUUUUUGUUUGUUUAUUUAAUUUUAAACCAAGGGUAUUAGAGAUAUUUUACCCUUUAAUGAAUGUCAUUUUUGUGAUUUUCUUCUUCUAGUGCUAUUUUUGAGACAUAAACUUCAAAAAGUGCUAUUAUUGACAAUUGCCCUAUAAAAUAUCUAUAAUCUUUACGAGUAAAAAGCAAAGCUUAAUAUACAUUGACUGUCAGUGGACUAUGGAGUAUGACCAGCUAUGUUACAUGGCAUUAGCUAAAUGAAGUUAUAGCAAAAGUUUCAAUGUAAGUAUUUAUCCUUCGUCCUCACGAAAUGUUGGGCAGUGUUAAAGGCUAUUCUCCGCUUUAGUAACAAUUUGCAUUUUGAAUCCGAUCCUGCUCAUUAUGGGUCAAAACCUACAUAAUUAGUAAAGUUGAGCACCAUAUUUUAAUAUUUUGUAGUAGACUCUCUAUACAUGGACACUUUCUCAAUGCAUCAGACAAAAAGAAAUAUAUGCACUGCGAAUAUCACUAUUUAAAAGUGAAUCGUAGAUUUAUCUUUCGAAUGUAAAACAACUCUAAACCAUCCAUAGCUAGACAAAAAAAAACAGGAAUCUCUAUAUUGUCUAGUUGACCGUUUGGUCUUCAAGUUAGGACAACACCAAUAUAACGCAGCUACGAUUGAUGGAACAUAGUUAGGGUUUAUACUAAUAUAUUUUUUUUGAUAAGUAGUUUAUAAUAAUAUAUACUGAAGAAGUAAUUUGUAAAAAUACUGUAUAUUAAUGAUUUAGGUGUGAAAGUGUGUAUGUUAUUGAUGUUAUAAACUUAUACAGUUAUGAUGAACAAAAGCAUCAUAGAAUAAACGAAUACGAGAGUAAUUUGAGUAUAAGUUCGCUGAGACCUGCAAACUAAUAUGAGUAUAAGUUCUUUGAUAUUAUCAUUCGCAAUGACUUGUCAAUUAUAUUUACUUGAUUUAACUGAAUAUCUUAUAUUAGCUGAGACCUGCAAACUAGUUAGAAUCUAACCAAUAAAAAAUAAAAGUUAUAGAUCUCAUAUGUCACUGUGAUUACUGAGAAAUAUUCUUGUCAAUUUAUGUGUGGCUUUCGAUCAUCUAGCAGUAGCAUUGUGUGUUGUUGAUAUAAUCAACAGAUUGGGUAAUUAAUCUUUACUUUUUUUGCAUUCGGUUUAAUAAUAUUAGUGUAAGAAUAUUAUGUGAUAGUAUCAAAAUAAAUAAAAACUUGAAAACAAAAAGGAUGUGAAAAAAAUAUAAUAGGCAAAAGAAGUUGAGGACAAAUAGAGAAAAGCAAGGAAUAAAUGUACCUUCGUGUACAACUACAAUAUAUGUGGGCGGGAUACUAAGAACAACUCCAACAGUUAGAAACCAUACAAAUUUCUUUAAAAACAUAUUAGUAAUCAUGUUUUAGUUCUUAUAAAUCAAUAAAAAAUAUUAAUUUCCUCUCAUAUGAUGACAUGUGUCUUUUGAUUAAAUUAUGAGUUCUUAAAAAGUAAAAAAAUACGAAUUUUUGGUUUUUUACUCUUUCAAUUUCAUUAUUUUGUUUUUUUUCUUCUAAAAUACUUAGAAUUCCUCCUAAUACUCACUAUUGGAGCUGCUCUAAUACCAUCGACAUAUUGUUCUAGAUUCUACAGCUGGCUUCAAAUCUUUGUUCUUGCUUAACUAAUCUUAAUAUACGAUCCUUUCGUUCUUGUUAGUUGGUAGCUAUAUUAAAAUGUAUCAAAGUUAAUCAAUUUACAAAAAGGUUACAUAUUUGCUACGAAUAUCAUUAGCCGCUCUUCAGAUUUUAUUAGACUAAGGACUUUGGUUUUGCCAUUUUGUGAUCGUUGCUUUUUUUUGGCAACUUUGCGAUCGUUGCUUAAACAUAGUAGUUAAACUUUUUUAACAAACCAAAAAGGUAUAUUGUGAUUGUGAGGUUGUUAUUUGUGCAAGUCCUUCCUAGAGAUCGAUAUACACAUGAAACAAUAGUGUAAGAUCUUAAUUUUCACUAGCUAGACCUGAAUCAUAUCAAUGUAAAUAUCUUAGUACUGUGUGCGUCUUGAUAUGUUGUUCUUGAUCAUAUGUCAUUUAUAUAGGAACAUUUUUGUUAGAGAGUAUAGUUGAUACCGACGAACGCUUUCGUCAGAAAUUCGUCGGAAUAGAACUUUUCCGACGAAUUUCCGACGAUUUCGGCCAUUAGAAUCCCCCUGUUUUCUUGUAGUGACAUAUUUAUAUGGAUCAUAUAUACACUGAAAAUUUGCAUGUUCUGAACUUGUCAAGUCCAAUUAAACUAUUAACUGUAGAGAAAUGGCUUUAAACUAGAUGUAAGGCAUUUUAUAAACAAAUCAUCAUAAGGACAGCAUCAUGAACAUAAAAGAAAAGGGAAUAUACAUAGAACCAAACUAAGUAAGCUAUUGGCAUUCUUUCAUUCAUCAUCAUCAUCAUCGUCAUCAUGAUUAUGAUGAUGGCUAGUUAUGAUGAGACUGGCAAGGAGGGAGAGUUUGGCACUCAGACUCAGAGACACGAGAGGCAUGGAACUUGGCGAUGAAGGCAGAAGCUUUACGGUCAAUACCUGGCUCAGCCACCCAAUAUCGCUUGUCCUCGUCGCUGGCCCAUGCCUUUCUUGUGUAUACGCCAUCGUCCCAUGCGUCUGCUUCAACUCUGUGAGACGACCUUCGUGAUUUAAAGAAGCUGAAGAGCGAGAACUUCUUUCUGCUGCUGCCUCCCAUUAGACGGUACAAGAACACGCCAAGAUCCAAGAAAAUAGAACGUUAAAUUUGUUUAAGUUUGAUGUGUUUGUGUAUGUAAAGAGAUGGGUUUAGCGGAUGUAUUUAUAGGGUGACUGGUAAAGCAGCUUCAUGUAGGAGGUUCUUUUUGUCCGGUUUGGUUCGAAUCUUGGUUGGUUCUGUUUAGAAAUUAUCAAAGCGAAAUAAAGUUUUGUUCAGUGUUCUAAGCUACAUUGUCGGACCAACGUGCUUUUAUGUGUCGCUUGCAAUUACUUGGACCCUAUUCCUUUGUGAGAUGUUGUAUCCUUUUUUUACUUUUAUGGGUGUAUUAAUAUAUAAUCUCGAAUAGUUAGAGUUUCCUUUUUUAAAAAUUAAAACAAUCAUUUCCCCAAAAAAUCAACAUAAAAAUUGGGGUUUACUGAAAUCUUAACAUAACAUAAAUUAUUCUCCUCAAAAAUUACGUUUUAUCCUAACUCAAACCUGAUAGCAUCAUAGCACCAAUUAAAACAGGACAAUAACCGACUCAUUUUGUGUAUUGCAUGCAAUUUCUUAUAAGGUGUUAGCUACGUCAAAUAAUAAUCAGCUAUUUCCCAUAGUUUACUGCUUUCUAGCUCGUCAUCUAAAAGAUCAAGGGAAACUCUCCAAUGUUAAUACUUAUGAGACCUUCAUAAAUUUUUAUAUCAAAAGAAAAACAUUUUUUCUUCCCAUCUUUUUAGAAUACAAGAAUUCAAUUAACAGUACCCGGGUAACAAAUAAUGAUAGAAAAAUAAUAUAACAACAAAAAGAGAGCAAACAAAAUGGAAACAAAAAUAAUAAAAAUAUAUAAAAUUUUAAUGGAAUCAAUGAAAAUAUGUGAAAAUAAUAAUUCGAAACAAUCAGAUAAAAACAACAACAUCCCCUAUAUAUUAAAGGAGAAGCAUUUUUUAAUGCUUUCCUUAAUUAUCUCUUAGUUAUUUUUUCAAGGAUGCAUGAGAAGGCUCCAUUCUUUUUUUUGCUUACGUGUCGCGCUCACAUCGAUUCUCACAAAAUCAUUUAAUGUGAAACCAUUAAAUGUUUCCUUAUUUGAUGAUUUUUUUUUGCAAACUCCUUUUCCAUGUCUUUAAGCAGUCGACGUUUUUUUAUUUUUGUCAGACCGACUGCAGAGUCCUUGAACAGUCGACGUUUCCAUGUCCUUGAUACUAGGCGCAUCGAUGGGUAUCGAAAGCAUAGAAGAAGACGAUAUGAGGGUGAUCGACGUUCUUUACUAAGGUUAUAAAGAAAGAGAUUUUGUAAAGCAGGCGCAUCAACGAUCUGAAUCCCCAUCGAAAAGAAAAAAAGAGAAGAAAUGAAAGGUUUGAUUCCAUUUUUGUACAAAGCCAUGGUCAUGUAUAAAAGAGAAGGAAGCUUUUCGUCAGUUUUUCUCAGCGAUCAUCAUUCUCAUCAACUUCCGGUUACUACAGGAGACUUCCUGCCGACUCCUCCGGUAUAUUUCGAACGUCAGACCUCAGGCGAUUUUGGACUGACCGUCUUGGAUUGCUUAAAACGACGCCUUCUUCACCAUCUUGCUUGCCCACUAGAAACAUCACGAAACGUACGUAAGGAGUGUUCUUGAAAAUACUAUUUACAUAAAGAGAUACGAAUCUUUCUUGACGUGUCCUCUUAUCUUAAAGUAUAUUUCUUAUGAAUAACUAUCCAAGGACUUAAUUGAGUGAUUUUAUAUUAUGAUCUUGAUUUUUAAUUUGAUAUUAUUAGGGACGUUCAAAUACGUUCUACCCAGAUUUUCCAAUUGUUCUGAAGACUCAGAGGUAAUAUAUUUAUUGACUAUUAGAAAUUUUGUUUUAAGUUGUAGACCUUUUAUUAUCUACAUAACAAUUCGUGUGUUUCAGGGUUCUGUUCUGAUAGCUGGUAGUUAUGUGCAUGGCUAAGUCUAAUCUGAAGACAGCUGCUAAACGUGAAGGAUCCCAUAUUGAAAGUUUAGAGGCAGCUAUCUACGAGGAAACUGUUAACAAAUAUCGACAUUCGGAUUCGAUUAAGAAAGUGAAGACUGAAAAUAGUGGCUGAAGAAUUAUUGGAAACCUGUCUACGAUGAAGAUAGGCUUUUCUCUUUUAUUGUUAUAAGUAUUUUAAUUGUUUUAAUCUUCGUAUUAUGCUUGGUUUUUGGGUUCUGUUUAACAAUUUUGGAAGUCUGAAGUGUUUUAUUUUUUAACCUUUUUACGUACUCUAAGCAUAUGUUGGUCGUUUUUAAUAUAAUCCCUCUUAUCAUAUUUUGUCUGAUCGGGUCGAUUGGUUGAAGUUAUCUAAUAUAUUUGGGCAAUAUAAAAUACUUUAAAAAGAAUCAUUAUUUCUGUAAAGUUUAUUUUCCAUGGAUAUAGUCUAUAGCUUUGUAAAUAUGAAUAUAUCCCUUUUAUAAAAUAUCCUAUACAAAUUGUUAUAGCACAUACUAUAUACAAGUACAAUAAACAGAAGAGAGCAAAUAUAUUUUGUCUUUUUUAAAAUCGAAUAUAAUAUUAUUGUACGUGCAUUUUAUUUGAUCCUCAGAUUCCUCAAAUAAAGAAUUAUUUUUUAAUCAAUGUGAGUAUAAAAUUAUUUUAAAUUUGAUAUAGUUACUAUAUGUUAACAGAUAUGAUUUUUUUUUUUACUUUCAGGAUUCAAUUCCGUGCAUUUUGAUUAAACUUCAAAAAAAAUUUAGACUAUAAUUUCUUAUCGUAUCAAUUAAUUAUGUUAUUUUGGUUUUUAUAUUAAAACAAAUUAUGUGUUUUAAAGGGUGGAAUCACAUUCAAUUUCUUUUUUCUUAAAUUUUUUUAUAUAAUUAAAAUAACUAUAUUUUAUUUAUUUAAGGUAGUUAUAGUAUUACUUUUCAAAUGUUAUUGUUCCACUAAAAAACCAGAAAUUCCGGUGUUUUUCACUUUCUCUUCAAAUAUAUAUAUUUAUGUCUUACAAAAUCAUAGUAUAUAACUUAAAAUAAUGAUACAUAUGCUUCAUCCCGCGCAAAGCGCGGGUUACUACCUAGUUGCAAUAUUAUAAUUUAACGAGUUAGAAGAAGUAUUUUUGAUAAACAAUAGAAGGGUAACAACAAGUAUAGUUAAUUUUUUUUUGAACGACUCAAGUAUAGGUAUAAAAAUUAAAAAAAUACUCAAAAAUAUAUAAUCAAAUUAUAUUUUCAAAAACAUGUUAUUGUUAUUAUUAUUUUGACUGAAAACAUGUUAUUUAUAAUGCAAAAUAAAAAGAUAUGCGUGUUAAGGGCUGAUUCUCCUCUAAUACAUACUAGGUGAUUUUCCCGUGCUCAUGCACGGAUAUAAAUAUUUCUAAAGUAAAUAAAUUAUAAUAAUUGAUUGCUACUUACUUUUAAUUUUAAAUUAAUUUAUAAUUUAUAUGGAUUAUUUAUAUUAAUACUAUUAUAUUACUUUGAUUAUACAUACGAUUUUAUAUAUGUUAUAUCUAAUCGGUUUUGUUGUUUUUCAGUCGAUUUAGUUAUCAUUUUGGUAAAUUAGAUUACAUAUAUGAAUUCAACUGUAAUGUUUUUUAUUCUAUAUAUUAAAAUGUUGAUUAAUUUCUUAUUUGCAUUUAGGUGGUUGUUAUCUUAGAUAUGUAAAUAUAUUUUAUAAAGAUUAUGUAUAACUUAAGAUAUAUUGUGCUUAAAUGAAAUAAAAAAAUAAAUUAAAGUGUUUGAUUCCAAAUUACAUAAAUUAAUAUAAUGAAACGAUAAUAUUUUGAAGUCUCAUGCAUAUAUAUAUAUAUAUAAAUUUUACAAAAGAACUAAAUUGUAACAGUUGGUUAAUAUUAUAUUUUCAUUUUUAAUAUGGUUUGAGUUGAGUUACAUAUAUUCUUUCAAAUUCAAAAUGAAGUAUAAUUAUUUUUUUAUUAUAAUUAAGUUAAAUGUGCAUGUAUUUUCAUAAUAUUUAUCAAAUUAUAUGUUGAUGUUUUUUAAAAAAUUAUUAGUAAAUAAAGCGAAGAUCAAUAUGAAGUUACAUGUGUAAGUAGCUGAUACAUUUUUGAAAGCUCAUGUACACAUAUCAAUAUUUACAAUGAUUAAAAUAUUUUAAAAAUUCUAAAUAAUUUUAUGCCUUUGAUUUAUUGAAUGAAAACUAAAAUUUAUUUUAAAUAAUCUUAAAAAUGAGAAUUCAGAUUUGCUUUGGUAUUUUGGUUAUGGUUUCUACUAAGUUCCAAAAACAUAAAAACAUAAAAUUUAAAAGUAUAUUUAAUAUUAAGAAAAAAUAACUUUAAUAACGCUAAAAUAUAAUAUAUAUACCUCAUUAAACUAUUUUGUAUAUAUUUGAUCAAACGAUGUUUAUUUUAAAAUUUUAUUUUUAGUUUUUUUAAAUAUCUCUUAAAAAUAAGCAGUAAAAAUUGUGAUUUUAUUAAAAAUAAUAUUAUAUAAGUAAAAUAUAAUUUAUCGAUAUUUGUUUGCUGUAAUUGAAAGACAUUAUAAUCAACUAAAUUUAUGAAACUCUUAAAAAUAAGCAGUAAAAAUUAUGAUUGUAUUUAAAAAUAAUAUUAUAUAAGUAAAAUAUAAUUUACCGAUAUUUUUUGCAGUAAUUGAAAGAUAUUAUAGUCAACUAAAUUUAUGAAAAAAUAAAUAAAACAUUUCAAUUUUACUAAUUAUAAAAUAUUUUUAGACAAUUAAACAUAUAUCAGUUUAUGUUACUUAAUUAUUUUAUGUAAUCAUAUAAGAAAAUAUAUAGGUGUAUAAAAAUAUUUUUAUUACUUUUAAUUUUUGUAUUGUUUAAACUAUGUUUUAAAAGAAAUAAUAUUUCUGUUUCUAAUAUCAAGAUUAUAUGUGUAAAUUGUUUUUAAUGAAAUCACAUUAUAUAGAAAUUUAUAUUUUGAUCUAAGAAAAUAUAGAUAUAAAGAAAGUAUUUUAUUAGUUCAAAAUUAUAUUUUAUGUUAUUUAAAAAUAUUUUUAAAUGUAAUAUUACUAUUUUGUGAACUUUUCUUUUUUAUGAAAUCAUAUUAUAUAUACAUAUAUUUUCGUUUUUCAAUUAUUUUUUUGAACUUUAUAAAAAAUUUCCUUUUUAUUAUAUGUGUAUAUUUUUUGGAAUUUUUUUAAAAGGAAACUAAUUAAAAUAAUAAAUAAUAAUAUUUUAAAUGUAAGUUAAUUCAUUAAAUGUAUUACUGUAAUCAACCAUCGUGAGAGUUAACGUGAUAGCGAUACAUAGGAAACUGACUUAUCAAAUAAUAUUAUAGAGAUAGAGAGUUACGUUGUGGUAUAUCCAUCAGAUAAUGUGGUUUUUCUUCCUAAUAUAUCCAUCAGAUGAGGCGCUAUUUUCUUAUAAUUAAUUUUCCACAUUAUAAUACAUAAAUCAAUGCAAAGAAAAUCAUAGUAAUGGAGAUAUUGUUCGAGAAUCUGAAAGGGAGGAUGAAGAUGAAGAAACGUGGAAGCUGGUAUUACAGUCGGAAGGUUAUUGAGAUUUUAUCGGACAAGGUCAGUCUUAAAGGGGUCUGUAUUAACUUUAACUUAAAGAGUAUUUGCUCAAUCCCAAAGGCAUCCAAGUUCUCUCUCUCUCUCUCUCUCUUCUCUCUCUCUCUCUCUCUCUCUCUCUCUCUCUCUCUCUCUCUCUCUCUCUCUCUCUCUCUCUCUCUCUCUCUCUCUCUCUCUCUCUCUCUCUCUCUCUCUCUCCUCUCUCUCUCUCUCUCUCUCUCUCUCUCUCUCUCUCUCUCUCUCUCUCUCUCUCUCUCUCUCUCUCUCUCUCUCUUUUCUUUUGAACUUUCUUCAAACUUCUUUUAUUCAAGUGAUCGAAUCAAACCAAAAGUGUGUAUUAUUUUAUGUUUCUAUAGAAUUAUUGUAAUAAAUGUCCAAACACAGUAGUGUUUCUUUGUUAUUUCUUGCUUUCUUCUCUUAAUGAUGCCUUCUAGAUACGGCUCUCUCAAAUUUCAACAAAGUGCCAAACUCUAUCACUUAUAUUCAUCUGCCUAAAGUCUGUUAGUCAAUGCAAAUAAGAAAUUAUUGUGUGACGAGUUUCUUUUGCCUUAACAGAAAAAAAUAUAUUGUAUCUUUUGUGGAAACAUAUCAAUUUUGUAGCUCAUCUGUAUAUCAAACCUUCAUCUCUCAUCAUAUUCAACUUCUAAAUUUAAAUAUAUUUUAUUCCUGAAUUCUACUACGUUUCACCUUUUUCGCUUCACAUAUUCAUAUAAAUGAACACUGAGAUUUGGGAACAUACAUAUGGUCUAUACUAAAUAUCUUUGCUGAACAAAUUGGUAAAACACGUUAGAUUUCGAUUGUCUUAACUACACAUCCAGUCAUCCGCUACAUAAUUUCAUUAUUAGAGUAUUACAUACACUAUGACAAGGCUGUAGUAGAACGUACUAGAGUACAGUAUUUUUCAUAUAAUCAUGUAAACUAAUAAAUCCCAAAGUUCAAAUUAAAAGGAAUCUGUCGAAGAAUAAAAGACACAAAUGUGUUAUUUUAUAUGUUAAAGCGUGCUUCUUCUUUCGUUUUCCUUCUUUGAGGAAUAUAUUCAACAGCUUCAAGCUACACUAUAACAAGUAGUAGUUUAUUAAUAUCUAGUAGACUUUUUCAUACGAAUGCCAUAAUCUUCUAUAAUAAUCGUGUAGCCUAUAAACUACAUAUUUUAAGCAAUAAUUAAAGCAUGACUAUUCACCACCAACAACGAUCGUUAUCGAAUUUUAUAAAUGAAAGAAAAAGUUUGAUUGAUUCUUUUGGAUGUGAAUGGAUUAAUCUUAGCGGAUUUGCAAGCGAAAAAGAAACUCUCCUUGGUAUUAUUGUGGGUUUGGAAUUUUUUUGGGAAAAAUUAUCCCUUAUAUUUUAAUGCAUAAGUAACAUAAAAUUAAAUAUAACACAUAUUAUUUGUUUGCUAAAAUAUAAUGACAAAUAACUAUUUAAACUUGUAUUGGAAAAAGCCUUACAUACUUUGAAAAUAUAAGGGCCUCUAAGAGAUGCUAUAUCUAAAAAAAAUAAACAAAAGGGAUUUUAACAUAUAGUUUCUACUUUCUUCUUCCUCUUUUUUGAUCAACAUAGUUUCUACUUUCAAGUUACGAUAUUAAAAAGCAUACACCAAACAUAGUAUAUGUUUCAAAGUAAAAAAGUAACCCACUAAGCUAGCUAGCACCAAAUAUGCGCAUUACAAAAGUCACUCAUCUUUUUAUCACGACCAAUCAUAUGAACGAAUGUAACCACAAACCUUUUAAAUUUUUAAUAUAGGAAACUGAGUGGGUAAUCCUCAACUUGGACCAGAUUCCUUCUCCUUUUUUACUUUUCAUUUCUAAUUUAUAUAAUUUACUAAUUUUAUUUUAACACAAAUGCUAAAAUCAUUUUUUAAUUUUAAUUUUAAUUUUCACUUAACCAAAAUAUUUUUGGUGGUUUGAGCCCAAGGCCCAGUACUAAGAAUGUAUGGGCUUAGCAAGGUCUACUUCUACUGCCUGCUUCCUGUCCAUUAUGACAAUCCAGGUGUUAGCAGAACGUGAGCUGAAGAUCCAGAGCGAUGUGAAAGAGAUUCGCAAAGUCUUCUGUUGUGAACUCUGCAGCAACCAGUAUAGAACGGUGAUGGAGUCUGAAGGUCAUUUGAGCUCAUAUGAUCACAACCAUAACAAGGUAAACAAAUAAUACAUGAACCCUUGUUCUUGUUUCAUAGCCUAUCGAUGGCCUGAAAACAUCCAAGUGUGACUAUGCAGCGAUUCAAAGAUAUGAAAGAAAUGCUCCGUGAAUGCAGCCGCGACGAUAGGAAGAAGCCAGAGAAGCAGCGUCAAGAGAGGGAGAUGACUAAAAUGUGCUCAAUACUAUCUGUUCCUUUUACAUGUUUUGAUAUAUUGUGGUACGGUUGGACUUAACCACAGAGUAUUGUUUUCUUUCUUUAGGACUGAUGCUCGUAAACAACAGCAGAUCCAACAGAACAAGCUAGAAGAAGACCCAGAGAACGUCCAAGCCUCAUUACCGGCUAAGACCACUGUUACACCACUAGCUGUCCAAUAACAACGAAAAACAUUGAAGUGUGGCUUUUCUAUCAAAGAGGGGCAGUAUAUCAAAGGUGCAGUAACACAAGCUAGGACUAGUUAAUCCUGCUACAACAUUACUUGCUCACAUAUCAAUUGAAACUAAAUAUCUGUUACAUUUUUGUAGAGCAAACCAACAAGCAGCAUCAAGAAGCCUAAAGUAAGCAAUUGCAUCGAUUUUUGGCCACGGAUAGCGACAAAGAUUAAAGUUGUUACAUCUUGAUUCAAGAACAUUGUACUAUUUUUUUUUUUGCUAUAUAGAACAUUGUACUUUAUGUGAUUCUGUUUUAUGUUUUAAAAAAAAAUUAAUCUGCAACAAAAUUACUGUCUUUCAAGUCUUUGGCUAUAUAUCAAUCUGACUGUUAAAAACAACCGUUAAAGGUUAAAUUGCCACUCCCACUGUUUGGAAACCACCGCCUACUCAAUGGACUAAAUGUAAUAAAGAUGGUUCAUGGAACCAUAAAGAAGGAAGAGGCGGCAUUGGUUGCUAUAGAAGCGGGAGCUGAAACACUCAGAUGGGUAGUAUCAAUAAUGACUGGUUUUGGAUAUCGAAAUGUUGUUGUUGAGUCUGACUUGCAGCUGCUGGUCCGGAUGAACAGAGGUGAGGAGGAUAUAUGGCCUAUACUAAAACCAAUCAUCCAGGACAUAAACCAUUCUUUGAUAGCAUUCCCAGCUUAUGUGAUAUCAUAUUACCCUAGGUAAAGAAAUAAGGCAGCUGACACGAGAGCAAAUAAGACUUUUCAUUUAUGAAUAAUGUCCCUAAGCCGUUAUGUAUUCUAUUAGUGCCAUCUUGGGUAAAGUCUUUUAUGGAGGCUGAUAAACCUUGUGUAAGAAUGUCUUAGAGGAAAAUGAAAGUUGAUGUAGAGCAAAAGAAGAAGAAAAAGAAAAACAACCGUUAAAAGGUGGGUCACCGCUGUGUCCUGUCCGUAGAAAGAUGUAACGGAUGCAAAAUGGCAGACCAUUUAACACGUGAGUUAAAAGAGCCUUUGUGUUGGUGGUAACUUGGUAGGUGAUAUCUUCCUUCCUUACCAACACGCGCCAGUCACGUGACAUGGUUAUUUUGUUUGUCCACUUGUCGUCGUCAUGGAACCGCACUUUCACAACUUGUCUUUAUCCUCUUUUUAAUAAUGAAUGAAUGAAAACAACAAACUCAAAACCAUUCCUCUUUGAACAAAUCCAAUGGCGUCUCUCUCUCCGCCGGAAGAAACCGCCGCCGCCGCCGCUUCCUUUCACCACCGUCGCUCCAAACGCUAUUCCUCCUCCACCACCAACGGCGUUGAACCGGUUCCCGACAAACGCCACAAGAUCUCUCCCCCUCCGAGUUUCAUUUCACCCUCCGAGAUCGAGUCAGAGUUCUCGCACCACGACCCCGCCUUCGCGCGGAUCAACAACGGAAGCUUCGGCAGCUGUCCCUCCUCCGUCAUCGCCGCGCAGCGAGACUGGCAGCUCCGGUUCCUCCGCCAGCCGGAUCGGUUCUUCUUCGACGAGCUCAAGCCCAACAUCUCCGCAUCCAGAGCCGCGAUCAAACGCAUCAUCAACGCCGAGCACGAGGACGAGGUCUCCAUCGUCGACAACGCCACCACGGCGGCGGCCAUCGUCCUCCAGCAAACCGCCUGGGCCUUCCGGGAAGGCCGGUUCGACAGAGGCGACGCGGUGGUGAUGCUCCACUACGCCUUCGGCUCGGUGAAGAAAUCGGUGGAAGCGUACGUCUCACGCUCCGGCGGGGAGGUCAUCGAGGUGCAGCUACCGUUCCCGGUUAACUCCGCUGAAGAAAUAAUCAACCGGUUUAGAACCGGUUUAGCAUUGGGGAAGGCGAACGGUAGGAAGGUUAGGUUAGCUUUGAUCGAUCACGUGACGUCCAUGCCUAGCGUCGUGAUACCGAUCAAGGAGCUUGUGAAGAUAUGUAGAGAGGAAGGCGUUGACCAAGUGUUCGUUGACGCUGCUCAUGGGAUUGGUUGUGUCGACGUGGACAUGAAGGAGAUUGGCGCUGACUUCUACACUAGUAACCUCCACAAGUGGUUCUUCGCGCCGCCUUCCGUUGCCUUCUUGUAUUGCAAGAGGUCCGGUGGUGAUGCUGGUGGUAAUCUCCAUCACCCUGUCGUGUCUCACGAGUACGGGAACGGUUUAGCGGUUGAGAGCACGUGGGUGGGGACUAGAGACUACAGCGCUCAGCUGGUUGUGCCUUCGAUUUUGGAGUUUGUGAACCGGUUUGAAGGAGGGAUCGAUGGGAUAAAGAGGAGGAAUCAUGAGUCUGUGGUUGAGAUGGGUGAGAUGUUGGUUAAGUCUUGGGGGACGCAGCUAGGUUGUCCGCCGGAGAUGUGUGCGAGUAUGGUCAUGGUUGGGUUGCCUGUGAGUUUAGGUGUGUCGAGUGAGACGGAUGCUGUGAGGCUAAGGAACCUUUUGAGAGAGAGGUUCAGCAUUGAGAUACCGACUUACUUUAGACCGCCUGGUCAGGGUGAGGGUGAGAUUGAUUCGAUCACGGGGUAUGUUCGCAUUUCGUAUCAAGUUUACAAUAAACCUGAGGAGUAUCAUAGGCUUAAGGAUGCGGUUAAUGAACUUGUGAGAGAUGGGUUCAAAUGCUCGUCUCUAACUGGUUGAAUAAGGUAACAUUGUCUAGUAUGCAUUGGUGAAGGGCACUAGGAUAUGUACUAAUGUGUGUAACGCAGGGAAACAAGCUAUUUCGAGGGGGAGUAAAUGAAUAAUGGAUGGUGAGAGUUAUCAUGGUUUAGGUACCAUGAGGAUUUGGAAGAAGUGAAGUAGCCUAUAUAUAUAUGUAUUUUCUAGUUAAGUCAUAAAACGUCUUCUGAAUACAGUAACUAUGUAUGAGAAGACUUUGUAAGCAUUCUUCUAAUUUCAUUUGCUCAGAAUCGUUUUGUUCAUCAAGUGUCUCUCCUCUUUACGUUAGCAAGGUCGGUAAUAAAGUUAACAACAGUCACUAUUUUCAGUGUUGUUGUUGUUAUUUCGAUGUAACUGUCUUAAAAAUAAAAUCCUUAACUUGUGUUGUUUACGUCACAGCAUUUUGACUUGCUCAAAACCACUAAAUGGAGAACGUUGAUUUGAUGUAAUUCAUUUGGAAACCUUUUGUUAUACUGUAAAGAUUAGAUUCAUUUAAAACGGGCAAUGUAAACACGUUUUAUAGUAUAGCAGAUAUUUGAAAAGGAGACUUUUUGAAAAGACUGCUAUAAUCACGUCUCUAAAAACAUUUGAAGAUAUUUAUGGCAACAGAUAAUACCUACCUGGUAAGACUCGUAAGAGCAAUUAAAGUAGUCAUUGGUUGAUUGAAAAAGAUUCCUCAACUCUUGCAUGUUCGCAACGUUUUAGUAACAUGAAAUGUUUGUUUGACUUUUGAGAGUCUUUGAUCCUAAACCUACCAAACAAACUAUGGGACCCAUACAACUCAGCAAUUCACAAUUCUGACGUGGCGCAGCAUUGGCAUAAUCAGUCGUACAUUCCAGGGUAAGAGUUUUUCUAGCCUUUCUGCAAAUUGCCAUAUUGUGAAGAACCUGCUCAAUCAAUUUUGAAACAAUUCAAAAGACAUGGUUUUCUGAAAGAACAAAACAAAGAGAAGAACAAGCAUCACAUAAUUCAUUUCAAGUAAGUACACAACGAACAAAAGGCUUUUGUUUUGCUCAAAAAAGUGUGAUGAAAACAAAGCUACAAAGACCAUUUCUACUUUGCAAUUGAACUAUCUAAGAAGAAUACAUCAUCAUCACAACAUUCAAUACCGAUAAAAGUAACAUCGAGAAAACUGUGACUCGAUUUCAAACUCAAGUGUCUCGAUCUAAAAACACGAGUGAGGAUUAAUAUCAAAGGCAAAUCAAGAGCUCAAGUGAGUGUCUUUCUUACUGUUGGUUUAAACUAAAAAAAGUUCUACUAGGUUCAUCUUAGUGUUCAUUGCUUACUUCAGACUUUACCAAACUAAACUAUGUGAUCUAACAAAUCACAUCUUGUACCUUUGUCCCCUUUUUUUCAAAAAUAAAGAAAAAAAAAUCAGACCUUGGGAUCAGGGGCGGAUCUACAGUGUCCAGUACGGGGGCACGUGCCCCCUACUACUUUAUAUAUAUUAUUUAGUUAAAAUUGUAACCGUUGUUGCCUGUAGGUCUAUUGGUAAAGAUGUCCCCAUCAACUCUUGAGUGUACAGGUUCGAUGCCCUCCUAGGUUCCAUUUUUUAUGUUUUAUUUUUACUUUGUUUUACAGUUCUGAUUUUUUAGCUUGUCACGUUUCCAUCCUUCAUGGGAACUAUUAAUUGCACUUCACCAAAAUUUGAUUUAUUAUUAAUAAUUUUCUUUUGUUUCUAUUAACACAGUUGCUUCUUUGGUUUAUUUAAUUUUCACUAAUUCUUUUUCGUUUUUAGAUUUCAUUUUUUCUGAAACAAUUUUUAAAUUUAUUAUUUUCUACAACUGGCAUUAUCAAUUGCUAAUAAAUAAGAAAAUAAUUUAUAUUAAAAUAGUAAACUAUAUAUUUACUUUCUAUUUAAUAUUUCAGAGUUUAUUUCUUUAUGAUAUAGUGACUUGUAUGAUACUGUAAUACAUAUAAAAUUAAAUACUAAAUUAUAUAUACUAUAUAUAUUUAACUAGUUUUGAUUGUAGAAUUUAAUUAUUUUGAUUAAUAAAAUUUGUAAAUUUUUCUAAAAAUAUUAAAAUAACUUAUAAAACUUGUUAUAAGUUGUAAGAAUUACUAUAUAUUUUGUCUACCACUUAUACUUAAUAACUUAUAUAUAUUUUUAAUAUAUAUUAAUAUUUUAUAACACUUUUUAAUAAUUUAUUUUCUGGAAAUUAUGUCUAAUGACAUUGCAGUUUUUCGUUAUUUUAUACUUAUAUUUUGACUAUGUGUUUACAAAAUAUUCAUUACUAAAAUUCUAAUUUCGUCUGAAAAAACAGUUUUUAUUAGAAAUUAUAUUAUUACAUAUAUUUAUUGUGUGCCCCCGUCAAAUAAUUUUUCUGGAUCCGCCACUGCUUGGGAUCGUUCCGUUUCUUGUGGUUGAGCUGAAUCAGAAUGUCGAUACACUCGUGGAAUUUGCCAGAUUGGAAAUAGGAGAGAGCGUCUUUAGCGAGUGCAUUUUAUUUGGAAACAUUUUGUCACUGUAAAGAUCAGAUUUUUUUUAAAACAUGAAUUUUUUUUUCUGUCAGCUGUCUAUUUCAACUAGAUUCAGACGAACCGGUUUUCUGCAGAGCAACUCCGUCUGUCCGGAUCUGAAUCAGAUUCACAUCUUCGAAAUCCUUCUGUAGUUUUUGGAACAUGUCGAUCUUCGUUGCAAAUAUUGACUAGUCUAUUGGAUUUGUAACGACGUCCACUAAAUCCGUGCAGUUUGUCUCGAAGUAUUUUCAUGUCUCUUAUAUAUGAGGUUGUCCAAAAUAAAUUUUUAAGGUUGAGAGGCUACUGUGCGGACGUAAUCUAUACACGUUUUAUAGUAUAGCAAAUAUUUGAAAAGGAGACUUUUUGAAAAAACUGCUAUAAUCACGUCUCUAAAAACAUUUUAAAGAUAUUUAUAGCUACAGAUAAUACCUACCUGAAUAAGACUUGUAAGAGCAAUUAAAGUGGUCGUUGGUUGAUUGAAAAAGAUUCCCAAAACUCAGGUAGCGCAUGUUCGCAACGUUUUAGUAACAUGAAAUGUUUGUUUGACUUUCCAGAGUCUUUGAUCCAAAAACCUACCAAACUAUGGGACCCAUACAACUCAGCAAUUCAUAAUUCUGACGUGGCGCAGCAUUGGCAUAAUCAGUCGUACAUUCCAGGGUAAGAGUUUUUCUAGCCUUUCUGCAAAAUCCACGAUGAUCCUUUUGUUUUUUUCUUAUGUAUACCAAAGUGUCGGUAGCUUAUUACUAUUGUUGUUGGUGGAUUCAUUUGAAAACUCUUUGUUUUGCUUCUCUUAUUCCAAAUGAUAUUUUUCUUUGUAGAGGGCAUCGUCAAGUCUCAUCGCACUUUGCAAAUUUUGCAUACUUUUCUCGGCGGCGUGUUAACUCAAAUACAAGUUAAAAAUUUGUACCAAAAUGAAUAAAUCUUAUACAAAAAGAAAUUCUAAACGUGUGAAACCUGGAAGGUUAUUAGAGAAAGGUAUCAGGCUUGCCACUGGUAUAAAGAGAUUUGGUUUAAAUAUGCAACACCGAAGUAUUCUUUUAUUGCAUGGAUUGCAAUGAAAGGAAGACUUGCAACAGGAGAUCGCAUGAGGCAUUGGAGUGGGUCAGUGGGCAGCUAGCUCUUGUGUUUUAUGCAAUGAAUCCUUGGAAACGAUGUAGCAUCUAUUUUUUUAGUGUGUAUACUCUGCUCAAAUUUGGAAACAGUUGAUGGAAGGGGUGUUGCUAAAUUAGUAUACUGAUCAAUGGUGGAGGCUAAUGAGGAUUAUGAGAAGCCCACAGGAAGCAAAGUGAAGUCAUUUGUCAUAAAAUACAUUUUUUAGCUUGCAGUCCAUACAAUAUGGAGAGAAAGAAACCGGAGACGGCAUGGGGAGGGUCCUUCUCCUGCGAAUCUUCUGGCAAGACUGAUAGACAAAGGGAUGAGAAACAAGCUCACUCUCAUUCAGAGAAGAAGUGACAAAGAACUUGAGGGAGGGAUGAUCUAUUGGUUUAGCACAAGAGUUGAAGAUGUCUAGCUUUGAAUUUGAAUUUUUGAGCUCCGUUUUGAAGUCUUGAAUGUAAAUAGAAGGAGGCAUAGGUUCUUUCAUUUAGCAAAGUAACACUUGAUGUAACAAGGUCAUUUUUUCUUUGAAUUAAAUUUAACAUUCAAUUAAAAAAAAAAAUCUUAAGCUUUUAAAAGGAGCUAAAAUGGUCCUUCCUAGUUUGUUGAAUACUUUCUUUGGUACAAAGAUUCACUAAAGCACAAAGAAUACCAAACUAUUGAUUUAAAUUACUUGAUGGCUUGUAUACUAUAAACCAACCAGUCAUAAUAAAUUUUUUUUUCUACUACUCAUACAACAAACAAAGGGUACACAUAUCAGAGAGGUAGAUAGAGAGAGGCAUAUUAUACAAGUGUUGUAAUUGUGCUACUACAUUUAAAGUUUUUUUAAGGAAAUCACAAACCGAGCCAAGGACACUGCUUCCUGGCAUGCUCAGGUACUAACUUUGCUACAAUCUCAACUGCCACACCUUUCAGCUCUGUUAUCACAACCAAUAACAAAGAUGAUUUCAGAAACUUGGAUGACCUUUAUAGGGUAACUUUGGAGCUAAGGGAGUUAGGAAAGGAAGAUAGAUGUAUGUACCGUGAGGCUUGAAGUUGAACAGUGGUGGAAGGAAACGUCCAUUAGGCAGACGUGCAUUUGGAUCUCUUAGCUCAUCAAAGAAUGGGUGAACCAAUGUGUCAAGCUGUAACCAGAUGUCACAUGUCAGGUAAAAAAAAAAAAAACAGAAAUGAAAAGAUUCAGAGAAGAAUGAAUGUUCUAACACUCACAGCGGCAGAUCGCAGAUUGGGAGAGUAUUGAAGAAGCCUUGACACCAAAUCAACAGCCUCCGGAGGCAUGCGUUUGUGGAAUAUCUGUAAACAUAUAUUAUGGUGAGAAGCUAUGUUCAACUGAUGUAAUAUAAUGUUUUAGUUAUACCUUGUGCCAUGGAUGAGCUUUAAUCUGAGGGAACUUGAACUCCGUGUAGUUUGGAUUCAUGCAUUUGAUUUCCUCCCUAGUAGGCGUUCCCAAAACCUACAGCAAUACAACAUAUAUAAACAUUAGAAACAAGAAGUUAUUAAUAAAGGGAACAUGUGCAACAAAGCUUAUUUACCUUGAUAAUCUCUACAAGUUGAUCAACGCCACUCUCACCAGGGAACAAUGGCUACCAUAAGCAAAUGAUAGAUUUUGUCAAUACCACAAAACUCCAGUUUUGAGUAGAAUAGAAUUUGAAUAAGUUACCUGUCCAAGCAAGAGCUCAGCAAGAACACAUCCUGCAGACCAGACAUCAAUGGCCGUUGUAUACUCGGUGGCUCCAAAAAUAAGUUCAGGGGCUCUGUAAUACCUUGAGCAAAUGUAGGAGAUGUUUGGUUCCCCUUUUACCUGUUUUCAAGAGUUGCAUUUGAUUUACUAAAAAAAUUCAAGAAGAAUGUACACAGAAGAGAUUAAUCGAACUCACCAAUACUUUUGCACUUCCAAAAUCACAUAGCUUCACUUGAUGUGUGUGUGGAUUUACCAACAAGUUCUGAGGUUUUAUGUCACGAUGACACACACCAAUACAACGGUGAAUGUAAGAUAAAGCCCUAAAGAUCUGCCAAACAUAGAAGAAGUCGAUAAGUAAUCUAAAACCAAUUUACAAAUGCGAUAACUGAGAGUACCUGAUAGGUGUAGAGUUUGACGUAUAUGAUAGGCAUACGCUGGUUGAGUUUGUUGUAGUGUUUGAUAACACGGUGAACCGUUUCAGGGACGUACUCAAGCACCAGGUUGAGGUAAAGCUCGUCUUUCUCCGUGGUUGAGAAGAAGCAGUGUUUGAGAGAGACGACGUUUGGGUGAUCGAGCAGCCUCAUGGUUUGAAGCUCACGGUUCUUGUACCUCCGGUCUUGCAAAACUUUCUUUAUCGCAACGGUUUCUCCUGUCUCAAGGCAUUUCGCCUGGAAGACAACGCCGAAAGAACCUUGUCCAACAACACGUUCGGCCAUGUAGCUGAUCGUCUGCAUUUGACAUUUGAGGGGAAAUCAAAACCAAAACAGAAGAAAGAAACUAAUGAAUCAACUUAACCUAAGAAAGAAGAAGAAUAAAAAGGUUAACCUGUUUAGGUUGGCCGUUUCUACCACCGAUGGUAGUGACUAUAAUGUGGCCAGUCUCUGUGCUAUUACCAUCAACCACUGUGGCUUCCAUCUCCUAAGCAAAAAUCAAAACCUCCAUUUUAGUUGUCUAUAAUAAACAUAGUAAGCAAGAAACACGAAACAAAGGCAUACUUUAUCAUCACGAAUCUUCAUGUCGUUCAUUUCUUCAGGCAAUUUAUCAACACCACCAGUAGAGUCUAUAGGAGGUGGUAUGCUCACUGAUGCCAUUUUCUUUUCCAGGGUACACACAAAGUUUCCUUCUUUCACUCUCUAAGCUCUCUUGAGACUGCAACAAAUCAAAAGUGUAUUGUUUUUUUUUUUUCAAAUUCAAACAGAGAAAACAACAUUUUAUUCACAAACUGAUUAUAAAAGAGCAAGCUUUUACAAGUGUUGUUUGUAACACUAACAAAGUAACCCAAUUAGCAGAGAGACAAGAACAAUAAGAGAAACCCAAAGAGGAAAGCUUUUAGGCAAAAAGACCUUCUUAACAUCAAAGUAAGCAGAUCUGGAGCUAUAACCACCUCACAAAUUUUCCCAACAGAGCAAUAGAGACAGGCCUCCAAGAAUUCGAGAUGAGCAUCUUAAAAAUGAAAACUUUGAAGAGAUGUUUAAACGUACCGAUUGAAAGCGUAGAAAUUCCAGAUCGAGAGAGAUGGAGAAGACGAAGAUCUUUAGAGGUAGAUCCGUACGAUUAAAUAAAAGAAGAGAUUGUGGGUUUGAUGAUGAUGAUGAGCCUUCUCUUCUUUCCUCUCUUCUUCUCGCUUUAACUUUUUUUUUUAUUAUGAAUUUCUAUUUUAUUUUAUUUUAUUGUGGUGUUUCUUCUCUUUUCUCGUCUCGUGAGCGUAUAAUAUACUGCGCUGGAGACAUUUUUUUAUUUUGUUACAAAUACUAUAUAAUAACUAUAUUUAUUUAUUGAUGUCUGGAAAACCUGUAUUUAUUUAUUACAACGUUUGACCGUAGAAUACGAAAACAAAUAGGCCAAUGGGAUAGUCUUCAAGUGAAAACUAGAGUAGUAAUAAUAAUGGAGACUUUGAAGUUAGCAAAGAACCAAUGUAAAAGUUACAUUGGUUAUGGUUUUUGCUGUGUUUUUUGAGUAUUUCUUUUGACCGUUCAAAACUUUUUCUUGUUCUCCCCAACACACACGACACGACAAAAGUGAGAUGAGGAUGAUGGUAGAAGCAAAUACACAUCAUUCAUUAUUAUCUUAAUAAACUGAUCAUCACAUGACCAUUCGAUCAAUUAUUUCUUGUGUAUGGAUUGCAAGAAUAUACGAAGAGUGUUUACCAAAAAAAAAAAAAGAAUAUACGAAGAGGAGACCACAAGCUGAAAAAUGGGCCGUUGGGUCAAACGUGUCGCAGAGGCAAACAAAA
rnacentral:lncRNA from 1 species